CGCCUCGCCUCGCCUCGCCUCGUCUCUCGCUUAAGGCCAUAGGGUACCCCGUUGCCUUUCGCCUUAAUAACACCGGAUUAGAAAUGAAUUAAUACAUAACUUGUCCAAUGCUGUAUCCAAAAUUUAACAAGGAGAAACAGUAACCACGCAUACCCCUAGCUGUGAGGGCAUGGGAUUGGGUAAGCAAGGUUUACCUAGGAGGGCUAAAAACACCCCUGCUUGGCACAACGUACAAAAUAAUUUUUCAAAUUUUUUUCUUGCACUGUCUUUGCUUAGUGGUUCUUGGCCUUGAACAUAUUUCUAUUUUGCCUUAUCCGUGUUACCUUGUUGUUCUUGCUCAUGCUUUGAGAGGAAAAAGUACCUUGUCACUCUUACAUGAAAAAACUCUGUAAUAUGUAGGAAAGCUCAUUGUUGAGGAAUUUAGUUUAAAUGUGCCAUCUUUUGGUAACAUUGCAUAUGUUCUUGUAUAGAUAUACAUGAAGUGGCAGUUAUAUAUCGAUUGUGAGCUUUCAGCACUCCAUUAUUAAAGCACAUCGCAUUUUCUGAUAGGGGUGUUUCAAAUUGCUUGUCAG
rnacentral:misc_RNA from 1 species